GCAUAUCAAUAAGCGGAGGAAAAGAAACCAACAGGGAUUGCCCUAGUAACGGCGAGUGAAGCGGCAACAGCUCAAAUUUGAAAUCUGGCUUCGGCCCGAGUUGUAAUUUGUAGAGGAAGCUUUUGGUGAGGCACCUUCUGAGUCCCCUGGAACGGGGCGCCAUAGAGGGUGAGAGCCCCGUAUAGUCGGAUGCCGAUCCAAUGUAAAGCUCCUUCGACGAGUCGAGUAGUUUGGGAAUGCUGCUCAAAAUGGGAGGUAAAUUUCUUCUAAAGCUAAAUACCGGCCAGAGACCGAUAGCGCACAAGUAGAGUGAUCGAAAGAUGAAAAGCACUUUGAAAAGAGGGUUAAAUAGCACGUGAAAUUGUUGAAAGGGAAGCGUUUGUGACCAGACUUGCGCCGUUCCGAUCAUCCGGUGUUCUCACCGGUGCACUCGGGGCGGCUCAGGCCAGCAUCGGUUUUGGCGGGGGGAUAAAGGUUCGGGGAACGUAGCUCCUUCGGGAGUGUUAUAGCCCCGGGCGUAAUGCCCUCGCCGGGACCGAGGUUCGCGCAUCUGCAAGGAUGCUGGCGUAAUGGUCAUCAACGACCCGUCUUGAAACACGGACCAAGGAGUCAAGGUUUUGCGCGAGUGUUUGGGUGUAAAACCCGCACGCGUAAUGAAAGUGAACGUAGGUGAGAGCUUCGGCGCAUCAUCGACCGAUCCUGAUGUAUUCGGAUGGAUUUGAGUAAGAGCGUUAAGCCUUGGACCCGAAAGAUGGUGAACUAUGCUUGGAUAGGGUGAAGCCAGAGGAAACUCUGGUGGAGGCUCGCAGCGGUUCUGACGUGCAAAUCGAUCGUCAAAUCUGAGCAUGGGGGCGAAAGACUAAUCGAACCAUCUAGUAGCUGGUUACCGCCGAA
rnacentral:rRNA from 1 species